UACGGGGGUGGCGAGCGUUACUCGGAUUUAUUGGGUGUAAAGGACAGGUAGGCGUUCCACCAAGUUAGAAGUGAAAUCCUAAGGCUUAACCUUAGAACUGCUUCUAAAACUGGCGGAAUUGAGUCUGGGAGAGGAAAGCGGAAUUCCCGGUGUAAGGGUGAAAUCUGUAGAUAUCGGGAGGAACACCAGUGGCGAAAGCGGCUUUCUAGCCUAGAUCUGACGCUGAACUGUGAAAGCUCGGGGAG
rnacentral:rRNA from 1 species